UCGAGAAUUUUUCUCAAUGGGGGAAACCCUGAAGGAGCGACGCCGCGUGGAGGAUGAAGGUCUUCGGAUUGUAAACUCCUGUCAUUAGGGAACAAAUCUUCCAGUUAACUGCUGGAAGUCUGAUAGUACCUGAAGAGGAAGAGACGGCUAACUCUGUGCCAGCAGCCGCGGUAAUACAGAGGUCUCAACCGUUGUUCGGAUUCAUUGGGCGUAAAGGGUGCGUAGGCGGCGGAGUAAGUCAGGUGUGAAAUCUCGGGGCUCAACCCCGAAACUGCACUUGAUACUGCUUCGCUAGAGUAUUGGAGAGGAGAUUGGAAUUUACGGUGUAGCAGUGAAAUGCGUAGAUAUCGUAAGGAAGACCAGUGGCGAAGGCGAAUCUCUGGACAAUUACUGACGCUGAGGCACGAAGGCCAGGGGAGCAAACGGGAUUAGAUACCCCCGUAGUCC
rnacentral:rRNA from 1 species